AUGUGGAAAAUACAGUAGCGUAGCAAGAAGAAAUACAGCGUUUAUAAGCGGAUUAUAGCUAAACAGAGGCAUUUUAACAGAUUAGCACAAUUGUAAAAAUAACUAUAAAAAGUCCGCACGUGACAUGCGCUCUUCGCGCUUCUUCUUCCAGCGCGGCAAUUUCAAGUUUCAAUUGGCAUAUGAACAUAAGGAAGUUCAAGUCGGCGUCUCAACCGCUGACACAGUUUAAUCUGUGCUCACUGCGAACUUCAGACGGCGUUUUCCUUCGUGCUUGUGUCCAUAACGAUGAUAUAUCAUCAAUAAAUGAUUACUGAUAAUAUAAUUGGAGCGAAGAUCCAUCGAUCCACUUUCUUGCAGCUUCUCUGGAGGAGUAAUCUGUCUCACUUCCGUGUCCCAGCCGGCUCGUCAGGACGACGCAUCUCUUCCUCCUAGCGAAGGACAGACGACACAUCACCUGCAACAGUUUUUAUUUACUUAAUUAUUUUUUUAACUUGGGCACAACUUAGCCGGGUCACACAGGUCGCCCUUCCACUCCUCCACCUCCACAUCCUUUCUCCACCUCUAGCAGCCACCUUCCAGGCAGGAAAACACGUUCUUGCAUCUGCUUUUGAGUCCUUUGAUUCAGUCUGACGUCCCAGUUUAAACCACAACAGCAACUGGAUAAGCAGACACACCUCAGACGGUGUCCUGAUCGUGUCUAAACUUGCGUGGAGCAGCGUCUUCCAGGCAGAAAGACAAGGUUUAUUCAUUUGGUACCAUAUGUACAAGCAAGUGUACACGUGAAAAAUGCCUCCCAUAAAGAAUAAGUCUAGAAAUGGCAGGUCUUGUGAGAAAGAAAAUGACACUAAUGGCUACAGCACACCGAGGAGAUUGCCAAGGAAGAAUAGCCCUUAUGAGGCUCCUGCACGGAUUCCCCUGGAGGUGAAGAAAAAUGGUGGCAAUUCUUAUUCAGAUAAAGGAAGAUGGGUGGGCAGCGGUUUUCCUGGUCAUUCUCAUCAGAAACAACUGGAUGAAUGGAAGAAGGUCUACAAAAGGAGACAACCGCAUCUUUCCAGAGAUUCUUAUCGCAGGUCUUCCUGGCCAAAAGUUGUCUUGGUCUCUCUUUGCUGUCCUCUCCACCCCAACCGGUCGAGGCAGAUGGCCGCCCUCCCUGAGCCAGGUUCUGCUGGAGGUUUUUCCUCCCUUUUAAAAGGGAGUUUUUCCUUUCCACUGUCGCUUCUUGCAUGCUCAGGAUGGGGGAUUGGAUCGAAGUCAAGACUCGAUGCAAUCUGUUGGUUUUCCUUAAUUAGGCUAUUAUUUUUAAGAAUUGGCUCAAAGUGAUUUGUCUGUAAAGUGCCCUAAAAUGAUAUUGUUGAGAAGUGGUGCCAUUAUGGCGGCCAGCCCAUCGGUGCCACAAGUGUCUUCAUUCCACAUGCAAUUGCCUGCUUGCUGCUACCUGGCUGAGAUUGGCUGGAGCUGUCACACCUUCACCUGCUCCCUCCUGAUUGGAUAAUUGCUCCUGUCACCCACCAGGAAAUAAAAGACUUCUGCAACUGCUCAGUCGUCGGCAACUGUUUGCAUGGACAGUUUGUCCUUGGCUUGCUUGAACUUGGUGACUUAGACUAUUUGCUUUAGUUGGUGGUAUUUGUUUAGAAACGUAGUAUUUUCCAACAGUGUAAAACUGGCUUUAUGUUAUAUUUUGUUUACUGACUGGUUGUCUUGUUUUCUUUUUUGUUUGUUUUGUUUGGUACAUAAAGCCCUUUGGCUUCUCUUUCAGUUGUAUUUAUAAUUAGAAUAGUUGUUAAAGUUAGAAUGUGUUGGGCUAGGAUAGUUUUGCAUUUGCAGUUGUACAUAGAUUUUGUGUGUUUAUAUAAUCAUAGCUAUUGGAGUUGCUUCUCUUUCUGUUUGUAGUAUAGCUUAGUAGGCCAGUCUUUAUUUUCACUUAUGCACUUAGUCUUGGUUUUCCUUUUUGUACUGGCUGGUUUUGAGUUCAUACAUAGAUGUUUUAUUACUUUCUUUGCUUUAAGCAGCUUUGCUAAACCCAACGCUUGUAAUUUACCACCAUUUGUUCCCCAUUGCUACAUGGACCAAUAAAUUCUGUUUGCUUCCAUUUUAACACCUGUCCGCAGUUCUCUAUUUGUUACGCUUCUCAUUGCCCCUGAGUCGGGUCGUAACAGGUGCUAUACAAAUAAAGCUGAUUUCAAUUAAAUACUGCAGUUUAGAGGUUUUUUUUCCUGAAUGUAGACAGACGGGCCAGUAUGCUGCACUUUAGUGCA